rnacentral:rRNA from 1 species
GGGAUGAGAGGGUGUGUGUAUAUUAGAAUAAAGAAACCCAAAUAUUUUUUUUUUGGUGACUCCAUAAUAACUUUACGGAUCACAAUAAUUUAUUUUUGUGACAUAUCAUUCAAGUUUCUGACCUAUCAGCUUUAGACGGUAGGGUAUUGGCCUACCGUGGCUAUGACGGGUAACGGGGAAUUAGGGUUCGAUUCCGGAGAGGGAGCCUGAGAAACGGCUACCACAUCUAAGGAAGGCAGCAGGCGCGCAAAUUUCCCAAUCCUAAUUCAGGGAGGUAGUGACAAGAAAUAACAAUACAGGACUUUACGGUUUUGUAAUUGGAAUGAGUUAAGUAUAAACCCCUUUACAAGUAUCAAUUGGAGGGCAAGUCUGGGGCCAACAGCCGCGGUAAUUCCAGCUCCAAUAGCGUAUAUUAAAGUUGUUGCAGUUAAAAAACUUGUAAUUGGAUUUUUGUUAAUUCCUUAUAAAUAAUUUUUUUUUUUAAAUAUUAUUAUGUAAGAUUAACAUAAUUCAUAUUUUUUAAGACUGAAUUUUUAGUUUUGAUAAUAUGAAAUUUUACUUUGAGAAAAUUAGAGUGCUUAAAGCAGGCUUUUGCCUUGAAUACUCCAGCAUGGAAUAAUAAUAAAAGAUUUUUAUCUUUUUUUUAUUGGUUCUAAGAUAAAAAUAAUGAUUAAUAGGGACAGUUGGGGGCAUUUGUAUUUAACAGUCAGAGGUGAUAUUCUUAGAUUUGUUAAAGACAAACUAAUGCGAAAGCAUUUGCCAAGGAUGUUUUCAUUAAUCAAGAACGAAAGUUAGGGGAUCGAAGACGAUCAGAUACCGUCGUAGUCUAACCAUAAACAUCAGG